rnacentral:lncRNA from 1 species
GGCGCACAAAGCAGGGCUAGAAUUCCUGUUAAAUGGAAUGGCUUCUCUGAAAUACAAAUAUUGAUAUGUCUUCAGUGAUCUGUGCAUGACGAUGCAGACAAUGUUCUACAAUUUUGCUUGGAAAUAGGCAGCAACAGAUGGUACAAAGAAGGUAAGAGAAUUAUCUGCCAUUAAAGGGAAAAGGGCCCAAGACCAGCAGAUGUGCCUCUCUUUCCCUUCCCUUCCCUUCCCUGCCCUGCCCUGCCCUGCCCUGCCCUGCCCUGCCCUGCCCUGCCCUCCCCUUCCUCUCUUUUCUUUUUUAAUUUGAAGGAAAGACAGUUUAGGGAAAUAUGAAGCUGAACAAGUGAUAAAUGGAUAGACAACCAGAUAAGAACAGGAUAGGAUUAAGGAAACACUGGAAGGAAACAAAGAAGUUCAGAUGAAACAACAGCAAAGAUUGCAUAAAAAGGGAAAAGAAACUAAAAGGAAAAGAAGUUUUAAAUGUAUAUAGGGAGUCUGUGUGCAAUUUCAUGUGGCUACUCAGGAAAAUGAACAAGCCAAGUAAUUGAAAGCAGAAAUGAAAUUGCAAAGGAUCACAGGAUUUCAAAUUAAGUGAACAAAUUGUAUGGGGGAGGGGUACAGACCAUACAAUACAAUAGCUUGAACUGGCAGACAGCUUAUAACAGUGGUUCUGAGUGAAUGACCCUUCAUCUCCUGUGACAAAUUGAAGAUAAUGCCAGCAUUUCAUAGUCAUUUCACUUUUAUUAUCACCAAAAGUUUAAGCCAGUAUUCUAUUACCUUGAAUGUCUUUAUAGUGUCAAGUUGAGCCGGACAAGAAAUGAACUUGAUGACAAAUUUGCUGACUCUGAAGAAGAGAGUAAGAGAUAAGACCCUCAUCAGCAUCUUCUCAGCUCCUGUGUCCAGGAUGUACAGAUUCAAUGACUGUAGAUUUCCCAUGACACAGUAUGUGCAAGAUCUCAAAAUAUACCCAGGGAAGACACCCUGUUUGACCAAGCACUUGGGGUGGCUGAUCCCUCCCCAGAAAGUGAGUGCUAAGGACUUGGAACUCUUAGAGCUCCCAUUGAAAUCCAAACCAGGAGCUGUUGAGAUGAACAUAUUUUAAUGCCCUUGGAAUUUGACAGACUGUGCAAAGUGGACAAAUGAUUGUGUCAACUUAAUGCAGUCAUGCCGAAUGCAGUCAGUGUCUCUGUGAAGCCUUUGAGAAUACCCAACAAUUGCUCAGCCUGAAUGAAGAAACUCGGUCACAGACAACACAAUCUUGUCUAUAUAGGAAUACUUCUAUUUCUCAGGACAAACUUGCAUGGAUUUUGGGAGGUAAUGCCAUAUUUUCAGUGCUCUGAAGAUUCAAAGAGCAGCAGACUGUGCACACAUCCAAACAAGACUUAUUUGUUUUGAAAAACCUGAGAGCUUUUUUAUGGUUCAAGCUGAUUGUUGUUACAUCCCCGGUUAUAAUGCAACAUUGAUUACUGGAUCUGAACAAGACCAGAAGCCUUUACCAGGAAGACAGCAGCUAACCCAUUUAUUCCUACUUUUUUAUGCUUAAAUAAGAGGAGUCUGAAUAUUUUGUUUUUUCUUACUUCACACAAUCAUAUACAGACAUGGAAUGAUUCUCUUUUAAAAUACAGAAGAGCAAUUUGCCUUUUUAUUAAACUUUUGUUUUUAUCUUAUAAAACAUAUAUUCUUGAGUUCCAGUUAUGUUUAAAACUGGCAAAAACUCACAGACAAUACAAAGGGGUUUUUAUUUAGUGUAAUUUUUUUUUCUGUGUUUUCUAUAGUUUAAUUUUUCCUGCAUUUAAUUAUAUUCAUUUCUGACUGUCCAUCUCCAUUGUACUCUGCUGGUAGAAGAACAGUUCUUCUAACAGGGAAAUAAAUCUACCAGUUUGAUUAAUCA